rnacentral:lncRNA from 1 species
CUGCCUCCCACGUGUCUAACAUGGGCCAGGACUGAAGAGCAGUCGACUCAGACCAACCGCUUCUCUGCCAUGCUUGGAACUGGCUCUCAUUCUUGACCCUGCUAGACAGUUGAUUUGGGUUUUUUAAAGACAGAGUCUCUUCUAUGUCGCCCUCACAGAGAUCCAUCUGACUGCCUCCUCAGUGCUGGGACUAAAGAUUGAUGACGAAUGUCCCCGUGAGCUCAAUGUCACCUGCAGUUCUUUCCCGUGGCUCCUGAGCCAGCAAUGUCGUCUGGGAAGCCAUCAUCAGCUCAUUCAGCUGAGACGUGCUAGAGGUCUCCUCAGCUUGGAGCAUCUGGAAUGCAUGUGAAAGUUACUGUUCCAAUUAAAAAUUGACAGUCACUUUUAGCUGUUGACUGGAGUAUACAUUUUGCUUCACUCUGAAAACUAUGUCCC